UAUUAUGAGAGUUUGAUCCUGGCUCAGGACGAACGCUGGCGGCGUGCCUAAUACAUGCAAGUCGAACGCUUCUUUCCUCCCGAGUGCUUGCACUCAAUUGGAAAGAGGAGUGGCGGACGGGUGAGUAACACGUGGGUAACCUACCCAUCAGAGGGGGAUAACACUUGGAAACAGGUGCUAAUACCGCAUAACAGUUUAUGCCGCAUGGCAUAAGAGUGAAAGGCGCUUUCGGGUGUCGCUGAUGGAUGAACCCGCGGUGCAUUAGCUAGUUGGUGAGGUAACGGCUCACCAAGGCCACGAUGCAUAGCCGACCUGAGAGGGUGAUCGGCCACACUGGGACUGAGACACGGCCCAGACUCCUACGGGAGGCAGCAGUAGGGAAUCUUCGGCAAUGGACGAAAGUCUGACCGAGCAACGCCGCGUGAGUGAAGAAGGUUUUCGGAUCGUAAAACUCUGUUGUUAGAGAAGAACAAGGACGUUAGUAACUGAACGUCCCCCUGACGGUAUCUAACCAGAAAGCCACGGCUAACUACGUGCCAGCAGCCGCGGUAAUACGUAGGUGGCAAGCGUUGUCCGGAUUUAUUGGGCGUAAAGCGAGCGCAGGCGGUUUCUUAAGUCUGAUGUGAAAGCCCCCGGCUCAACCGGGGGAGGGUCAUUGGAAACUGGGAGACUUGAGUGCAGAAGAGGAGAGUGGAAUUCCAUGUGUAGCGGUGAAAUGCGUAGAUAUAUGGAGGAACACCAGUGGCGAAGGCGGCUCUCUGGUCUGUAACUGACGCUGAGGCUCGAAAGCGUGGGGAGCAAACAGGAUUAGAUACCCUGGUAGUCCACGCCGUAAACGAUGAGUGCUAAGUGUUGGAGGGUUUCCGCCCUUCAGUGCUGCAGCAAACGCAUUAAGCACUCCGCCUGGGGAGUACGACCGCAAGGUUGAAACUCAAAGGAAUUGACGGGGGCCCGCACAAGCGGUGGAGCAUGUGGUUUAAUUCGAAGCAACGCGAAGAACCUUACCAGGUCUUGACAUCCUUUGACCACUCUAGAGAUAGAGCUUUCCCUUCGGGGACAAAGUGACAGGUGGUGCAUGGUUGUCGUCAGCUCGUGUCGUGAGAUGUUGGGUUAAGUCCCGCAACGAGCGCAACCCUUAUUGUUAGUUGCCAUCAUUUAGUUGGGCACUCUAGCGAGACUGCCGGUGACAAACCGGAGGAAGGUGGGGAUGACGUCAAAUCAUCAUGCCCCUUAUGACCUGGGCUACACACGUGCUACAAUGGGAAGUACAACGAGUCGCUAGACCGCGAGGUCAUGCAAAUCUCUUAAAGCUUCUCUCAGUUCGGAUUGCAGGCUGCAACUCGCCUGCAUGAAGCCGGAAUCGCUAGUAAUCGCGGAUCAGCACGCCGCGGUGAAUACGUUCCCGGGCCUUGUACACACCGCCCGUCACACCACGAGAGUUUGUAACACCCGAAGUCGGUGAGGUAACCUUUUUUGGAGCCAGCCGCCUAAGGUGGGAUAGAUGAUUGGGGUGAAGUCGUAACAAGGUAGCCGUAUCGGAAGGUGCGGCUGGAUCACCUCCUUU
rnacentral:rRNA from 1 species